rnacentral:rRNA from 1 species
AUUGAACGCUGGCGGCAUGCUUUACACAUGCAAGUCGAACGGUAACAGGCCGCAAGGUGCUGACGAGUGGCGAACGGGUGAGUAAUGCAUCGGAACGUGCCCAGUCGUGGGGGAUAACUACUCGAAAGAGUAGCUAAUACCGCAUACGAUCUAUGGAUGAAAGCGGGGGACCGUAAGGCCUCGCGCGAUUGGAGCGGCCGAUGUCAGAUUAGGUAGUUGGUGGGGUAAAGGCUCACCAAGCCAACGAUCUGUAGCUGGUCUGAGAGGACAACCAGCCACACUGGGACUGAGACACGGCCCAGACUCCUACGGGAGGCAGCAGUGGGGAAUUUUGGACAAUGGGCGCAAGCCUGAUCCAGCAAUGCCGCGUGCAGGAAGAAGGCCUUCGGGAUGUAAACUGCUUUUGUACGGAACGAAACGGCUCUGGUUAAUACCCGGGGCUAAUGACGGUACCGUAAGAAUAAGCACCGGCUAACUACGUG